rnacentral:rRNA from 1 species
AGAGUUUGAUCAGUGGCUCAGGACGAACGCUGGCGGCGUGCUUAACACAUACAAGUCGAACGGUAAGGCCCUUCGGGGUACACGAGUGGCGAACGGGUGAGUAACACGUGGGUGAUCUGCCCUGCACUUCGGGAUAAGCCUGGGAAACUGGGUCUAAUACCGGAUAGGACUCCUGGCUUCAUGGUUGGGGGUGUAAAGCUUUUGCGGUGUGGGAUGGGCCCGCGGCCUAUCAGCUUGUUGGUGGGGUAAUGGCCUACCAAGGCGACGACGGGUAGCCGGCCUGAGAGGGUGACCGGCCACACUGGGACUGAGAUACGGCCCAGACUCCUACGGGAGGCAGCAGUGGGGAAUAUUGCACAAUGGGCGCAAGCCUGAUGCAGCGACACCGCGUGAGGGAUGACGGCCUUCGGGUUGUAAACCUCUUUCAAUAGGGACGAAGCGCAAGUGACGGUACCUAUAGAAGAAGGACCGGCCAACUACGUG